rnacentral:misc_RNA from 1 species
GAAAGAGAGGAAAGAAGAAGAAGAGGGAAAGAGAGGAAAAAAAAAAUCAAGAAAUACCUUGUUGUGGUCUUAAGUCUUCUUCAAUGUUGUUGCUGGCGUCAUGAGAGAGAAUAAGUUAGGGCUUUUAACUAUUGUUAUUUGAAAACAAUAUAUUAAAAAAAAAUAAAAAAAUUUUCAUUAUUUCUCAAAGGCUUCGCCUUUAAUGCCUCACGGCUCUCACCUUGGAGCCUUGGGUGCUUGCCUUUGGGAAGUCUGCUCACCUCAGCUAGGCAAGGCGUCAAGGGGUCACCUCACCUUGCCUCCCCCGGUGCCUUUUCUCGCCUUUAUUAACACUGGUUGGAUUGAACACUAUUCACAGUAAAAAUGUGACAGUUUGACAAUGCACUAACACCUUACGUGCAAAUCAUACUGCUAAGUAUUGUGCAUUUGUAGAAAACUCUAGGUACAACACUAAACAAGCAGUCAAGCUUGUAAAACUUGCUUCACACAUUAAACUCCACACAAUAAUCUAUUGAUUUGAACUAGGGUCUACCUAGUGAUGCUUUGCCCACUUGUUUUAUCAACCAUCUUUGGUCUGUGUUGCAUGUUUGUUAUUUUUAGGAAAAAAUUAUAAAGAAGAGGGAAGAAUUGUAGAAAGUUUAAUUUGAGCAGAGGAUCUCACUCCCAACCAUGAGAUUCUCAUUGUUGCCUGUGAAAUUGAAAAAGCAAGCAUGGCUUCUUGUGGGAUGGAAGAAGAGCGCAUGGCCAGCCAUGAGAUUGCUUCCUACAUGCAUGGCUGGCAAUGAGAUGGUACCCAAUUGGCUUGUGACACCUCACUAAGUGAAGGGGAAGAGUCAAAAUUAGAGUUAGUUGGAGAUUUUCUGAAUGGGAAGCAGAAGAGACGUUCGGGGAGGCUCCUAAACACAAAAAAAUAUACACCAAUUUUUGCUAAAGCAAGGAAUUUGAAAGGGGGAUUUUGGAAGCUUGAAGGAGGAAGACAUCAAUCUCCAUCCUAGAGAGUUUUUAUUUUCUUCUCUUUUAAUUACUUUUGGAGAUGAUGACAAGAUCAACAAAGAAGAAUCCACCUGAGAGGUGGGGUGGAUUCUCAACAGAGUGAAGGAAUGCCUACAUUUGGCAUUGCUAUUUACAUGUGAUUGUUAUGUUGUGGACUGGUUCAGGGUGCUCUCAAGCGGAUGUUACUUAAACUUGCGAUUACUUUUGUCUUUUUCAACAGCUAGGGUGUCAAGCUCACAGCCUAUGUAGUGUAGAACAUAUAACUGAGUAGAUUAUCUUUUUUUUUUUGUUGAACUGUUAUGUAGCUAAUCUGGAAAAUUUUUUUGCCACUGGAUUGUUUUGGUUAUUUCAUGUUUUAUUAUUUUUUUAUUGUUUAUUGCCUGAUUGUGUUGAUAUCAUAUGGAUGUAAAACACCACAGGUGGCUUGAGAAUAUACGUGAUUGGUGCAUAUCAAGGCAGCUUUGGUGGGGUCACCGCAUUCCUGCAUGGUAUAUUACGCUUGAUGACGAUGAAUUGAAGGAACUUGGCGUCUACAAUGACCAUUGGGUGGUUGCUAGAGAUGAGAAAGAGGCUUUAGCAGAGGCUAGUGUGAAAUUUCCUGGAAAGAAAUUUGAGAUGAGUCAAGAUCCUGAUGUUCUCGACACUUGGUUUUCUUCUGGUCUAUUUCCAUUGUCUGUAUUGGGUUGGCCAGAUGAUACUGAUGAUUUGAAAGCAUUUUACCCAACUUCUGUACUUGAAACUGGGCAUGACAUUCUAUUUUUCUGGGUUGCUCGGAUGGUAAUGUUAGGAAUUAAACUGGGAGGUGAUGUUCCAUUUAGGAAGGUUUAUUUGCAUCCAAUGAUUCGUGAUGCUCAUGGCCGUAAGAUGUCAAAGUCUUUGGGAAAUGUUAUUGACCCUCUUGAAGUAAUAAAUGGGAUAACACUUGAAGGCCUUCACAAAAGACUAGAGGAGGGUAAUUUGGAUCAAAGUGAGCUGGUUAUUGCAAAAGCUGGACAGAAGAAAGACUUUCCCAAUGGUAUCUCUCAAUGUGGUGCAGAUGCUCUCCGAUUCGCUCUUGUAUCUUACACUGCUCAGUCUGAUAAAAUAAAUUUGGACAUUCAACGAGUAGUUGGAUAUCGUCAAUGGUGUAACAAAUUGUGGAAUGCUGUUCGAUUUGCUAUGAGCAAACUGGAAAUUGAUUAUGCCCCUCCAUCGACUUUACUUGUGGAAACUAUGCCUUUUAGCUGCAAAUGGAUACUCUCGGCACUUAACAAAGCCAUAUCCAAAACUGUUUCAGCAAUGGAUUCAUAUGAGUUUUCAGAUGCUGCCAGCACAGUCUAUUCCUGGUGGCAAUAUCAGUUUUGUGAUGUUUUCAUUGAAUCAAUCAAGCCUUACUUUACUGGUGAUGAUCCAUCAUUUGCCUCUGCAAAGAAUUCUGCAAAAGAUUGUCUUUGGGUGUGUUUGGACAAUGGCCUGCGAUUGCUUCAUCCAUUUAUGCCAUUUAUUACUGAGGAAUUGUGGCAACGCCUUCCUUCAGCUGGGGAACAUACCAGAAAAGAGUCGAUUAUGAUAUCUGAAUAUCCAUCAACCGUAGAAGCCUGGACAAAUGAGAGGGUGGAAUAUGAAAUGGACCUUGUUGAGUCCACUGUGAAGAGUAUAAGAUCUCUGAGGGCUGAGGUGCUUGGUAACCCAAGAAAUGAAAGACUACCAGCUUUUGCAUUUUGCCAAAGUGAUGCAGUAGCAGAAAUUAUUGCUAGCCAUGAAUUGGAGAUUUUAACUCUUGCAACUUUGUCAUCCAUCAAGGUAUUAUUGAGUGGGAAAGAUGCUCCUCCAGCUGAAUGUGCAUUUGAGAAUGUCAAUGAGAAUCUUGUUGUCUAUCUCAAGGUUCAAGGAAAAGUUGAUGCAGGAGGAGAGCUUGAAAAGAUCAGAAAUAAAAUGGAUGAUGCACAAAAGCAAUGGGAUAAGUUGGAUAAGAUGGUUAAUGCAGCUGGCUAUAAAGAAAAAGUACCAUCUCAUAUUCAGGAGGAGAACGCUGAAAAGCUGGCCAAGCUACUUAAAGAGAUGGAAUUCUUUGAAAAAGAGAGCUCCCGGCUUGAAGCUAUGAUUGGAACUGAGGGUAAAUUAAAUUAAAGCUUCAAAUCGUAUCGACAGGCGAAGAAAGCGAAGAGGAAAGCUGAAGGGGGCGAAAGGGCGCUGGUUGUUUCGAGGAACAAUAAUACCCAUUCAUUUUUGUUGUUCCUUGUUUGAGCGAGUAUGGCUGCUAGAAUAAUUCAAUUUAAUUUCGAAAGUUAUAAUUUGGAUGAAAAAUAAGAAAAAUUUUAUCAGAUCUACCUAAUUUAAGGGUCAAUCUUUUUGCCUCCCUCAGAGAGUUGCUGUAGAGGACACAAAAGAUUGGAGUUGGUAUAUGAUCAAAAGAUAUUCAAAGUUUGAUAUGUAAUAUAAUGUGGCUUGUUUUACAGGCGAAGACAUAAUUUACAAACUAAUUGUGAUAUGCAUUUUAUAUUUACUAGACAAAUGCAUAUUUAAGGUUUUAUAUAAACUAUAUUGUAGACGUAGUUAUUUAGAGGCAAAUUAUUAGUUAAUGUUCAUUCGCAAAGUAGUGGGUAUGGUUUUCGUAAUUUCAUGGUAUAAUUGUAUUUUUGAGUA